AUUGAACGCUGGCGGAAUGCUUUACACAUGCAAGUCGAACGGCAGCACGGACUUCGGUCUGGUGGCGAGUGGCGAACGGGUGAGUAAUGUAUCGGAACGUGCCCAGUCGUGGGGGAUAACGUAGUGAAAAUUACGCUAAUACCGCAUACGAUCUAUGGAUGAAAGCGGGGGAUCGCAAGACCUCGCGCGAUCGGAGCGGCCGAUAUCAGAUUAGGUAGUUGGUGGGGUAAAGGCCCACCAAGCCAACGAUCUGUAGCUGGACUGAGAGGACGACCAGCGACACUGGAACGGAGACGCGGGCCAGACUCCGACGGGAGGCAGCAGUAGGGAAUUUUGGACAAUGGGCGAAAGCCUCAUCCAGCCAUUCCGCGUGCAGGAUGAAGGCCCUCGGGUUGUAAACUGCUUUUGUACAGAACGAAAAGGUUUCUACUAAUACUAGGAGCUCAUGACGGUACUGUAAGAAUAAGCACCGGCUAACUACGUGCCAGCCGCCGCCGUAA
rnacentral:rRNA from 1 species